AGUGAACGUUGGCGGCGUGGAUUAGGCAUGCAAGUCGCGCGGAAAGGCCCCGCAAGGGGUACUCGAGCGGCGUAAGGGAUAGUAACACGUAGGUCACCUACCCCCGGGACUGGGAUAGCUGCGGGAAACUGCAGGUAAUACCGGAUAACGUCUCCGGACCAAAGGUGUGAUUCCGCCCGGGGAGGGGCCCGCGUCCUAUUAGCUAGUUGGCAGGGUAACGGCCUACCAAGGCUAAGAUGGGUAGGGGGUGUGAGAGCAUGACCCCCAUCACUGGGACUGAGACACUGCCCAGACACCUACGGGUGGCUGCAGUCGAGAAUCUUCGGCAAUGGGCGCAAGCCUGACCUAGCGACGCCGCGUGCGGGAUGAAGGCCCUCGGGUUGUAAACCGCUGUCAGAGGGAUGGAAAUGCCAAGGGGUUCUCCCCUUGGUUUGACUGACCCUCAGAGGAAGUACGGGCUAAGUUCGUGCCAGCAGCCGCAGUAAGAC
rnacentral:rRNA from 1 species